GGGGUUAUGGCUCAGGGGUAGAGCGCUUGCCUAGCAUGCAUGAGGCACUGGGUUCGAUCCUUAGCACCA
rfam:Ictidomys tridecemlineatus contig007685, whole genome shotgun sequence.